GUUUGAUCCUGGCUCAGAACGAACGCUGGCGGCAGGCCUAACACAUGCAAGUCGAGCGCGCCCUUCGGGGUGAGCGGCGGACGGGUUAGUAACGCGUGGGAACGUGCCCAGAUCUAAGGAAUAGCCACUGGAAACGGUGAGUAAUACCUUAUACGCCCUUCGGGGGAAAGAUUUAUCGGAUUUGGAUCGGCCCGCGUUAGAUUAGGUAGUUGGUGGGGUAAUGGCCUACCAAGCCUACGAUCUAUAGCUGGUUUUAGAGGAUGAUCAGCAACACUGGGACUGAGACACGGCCCAGACUCCUACGGGAGGCAGCAGUGGGGAAUCUUGGACAAUGGGGGGCAACCCUGAUCCAGCCAUGCCGCGUGAGUGAUGAAGGCCUUAGGGUCGUAAAGCUCUUUCGCCUGUGAUGAUAAUGACAGUAGCAGGUAAAGAAACCCCGGCUAACUCCGUG
rnacentral:rRNA from 1 species